UUGCCUACGGGGGGCAGCAGUAGGGAAUCUUCGGCAAUAGGGGCAACCCUGACCGAGCAACGCCGCGUGAGUAAAAAAGGUUUUCGGAUCGUAAAGCUCUGUUGUAAGUCAAGAACGGGUGUGAGAGUGGAAAGUUCACACUAUGACGGUAGCUUACCAGAAAGGGACGGCUAACUACGUGCCAGCAGCCGCGGUAAUAGGUAGGUCCCGAGCGUUGUCCGGAUUUAUUGGGCGUAAAGCGAGCGCAGGCGGUUUG
rnacentral:rRNA from 1 species